rnacentral:rRNA from 1 species
AUUGAACGCUGGCGGCAUGCCUUACACAUGCAAGUCGAACGGCAGCACGGGUGCUUGCACCUGGUGGCGAGUGGCGAACGGGUGAGUAAUACAUCGGAACAUGUCCUGUAGUGGGGGAUAGCCCGGCGAAAGCCGGAUUAAUACCGCAUACGAUCUACGGAUGAAAGCGGGGGACCUUCGGGCCUCGCGCUAUCGGGUUGGCCGAUGGCUGAUUAGCUAGUUGGUGGGGUAAACGCCUACCAAGGCGACGAUCAGUAGCUGGUCUGAGAGGACGACCAGCCACACUGGGACUGAGACACGGCCCAGACUCCUACGGGAGGCAGCAGUGGGGAAUUUUGGACAAUGGGCGAAAGCCUGAUCCAGCAAUGCCGCGUGUGUGAAGAAGGCCUUCGGGUUGUAAAGCACUUUUGUCCGGAAAGAAAUCCUUGGCCCUAAUACGGUCGGGGGAUGACGGUACCGGAAGAAUAAGCACCGGCUAACUACGUG